rnacentral:rRNA from 1 species
UGGGGAAUUUUGGACAAUGGGCGCAAGCCUGAUCCAGCCAUGCCGCGUGUCUAAAGAAGGCCUUCGGGUUGUAAAGGACUUUUGUCAGGGAAGAAAAGGCUGUUGCUAAUACCGACAGUUGAUGACGGUACCUGAAGAAUAAGCACCGGCUAACUACGUGCCAGCAGCCGCGGUAAUACGUAGGGUGCGAGCGUUAAUCGGAAUUACUGGGCGUAAAGCGAGCGCAGACGGUUACUUAAGCAGGAUGUGAAAUCCCCGGGCUCAACCUGGGAACUGCGUUCUGAACUGGGUGACUAGAGUGUGUCAGAGGGAGGUAGAAUUCCACGUGUAGCAGUGAAAUGCGUAGAGAUGUGGAGGAAUACCGAUGGCGAAGGCAGCCUCCUGGGAUAACACUGACGUUCAUGCUCGAAAGCGUGGGUAGCAAACAGGAUUAGAUACCCUGGUAGUCCACGCCCUAAACGAUGUCAAUUAGCUGUUGGGCAACUUGAUUGCUUAGUAGCGUAGCUAACGCGUGAAAUUGACCGCCUGGGGAGUACGGUCGCAAGAUUA